UACGUAGGGUCCGAGCGUUGUCCGGAAUUACUGGGCGUAAAGGGCGCGUAGGCGGUGCGGUAAGUCUGUAGUGAAAUCUCUGGGCUCAACUCAGAGUCUGCUGCAGAAACUGCCGUGCUUGAGUGUGGGAGAGGUGAGUGGAAUUCCUGGUGUAGCGGUGAAAUGCGUAGAUAUCGGGAGGAACACCUGUGGCGAAAGCGGCUCACUGGACCACAACUGACGCUGAGGCGCGAAAGCUAGGGGAGCAAACAGG
rnacentral:rRNA from 1 species